GACGGCGCCGCGGCGGCGCGCAGGAUGGGCGGCAGGGCCGGCUUCUUCGAGGUGGAAAUCCUUGACUGGAAGACAAAGGAACAAUUAUGCUUCUUAGAUAAGGUGGAACCAAAUGCUACAAUUAGGGAGAUAAGAUCAAUGUUCCAUAAAUUAUAUCCCCAGUGGUAUCCAGCAAGACAGUCAAUAAAACUUGAUCCAAAAGGAAAGUCCCUGAGGAAUGAGGAAAUCCUGCAGCACCUCCCUGUUGGCACAACUGCUACUUUAUACUUUAAAGAUUUAGGGCCACAGAUAGGAUGGACUACGGUAUUUUUGAUAGAAUAUACAGGUCCAUUGUUCAUCUAUUUUCUGUUUUAUUUCCGCAUGCCUUUUGUGUAUGGACUGGAUGAGAGGUUUACAUCAAGCCCACAUCCAGUAGUUAACUUGGCAUGUAUCUGCCAUUCUUUCCACUACAUCAAAAGGUUGAUUGAAACAAUAUUUGUUCAUCGGUUCUCCCAUGGGACUAUGCCACUGAGGAAUAUUGUGAAGAACUGUUUAUAUUACUGGGGAUUUGCAGCUUGGCUUGCUUAUUACAUCAAUCAUCCUCUUUACACUCCUCCUUCUUAUGGGAAAAAACAGAUUAAUUUUGCUGUGAUCAUGUUUCUGCUAUGUGAAGCUGGAAAUUUUUCCAUUCAUGUUGCACUUAGCGACCUCCGGAGAGAUGGGUCCAAAACUCGUAAGAUCCCGUAUCCAACAAAGAAUCCUUUCACAUGGCUGUUUUUCUUUGUAUCUUGCCCUAACUAUACCUAUGAGGUGGGGACAUGGAUCAGUUUCACUAUCAUGACUCAAUGUGUUCCAGCAUUCUUACAGCUCAUCCACAGAUUUCACAACACAGUGCUGAAGGUGUGAAGUGCUGGUGUGGUCUCUUUCAGUGUCAUGUAACAGGAAAGGAGCUGCUGAGUCAUUCAGACUAUGAGUUAACCCUGGACACAAGGUUAAUUUCGGAAACAAUACCAUCCAAAUCCACAGCUGAAACACAUUCUGAACAAGUCAACUUACACUGGAUUCACUUAUUUCAUUCUUCUCAAAAUAGUACCUUGGUCAAUUCCUGUAAUUCUAAGAUAUUUGUUUUGUUCCCCCCAUUCAGAAUUCUUUUUCUUUCUUCUGCAACAUCCUCAUCUUCACCAACAAUAGGCGACUUGUCAAUCUCGACAAACCUGGAAAAGUAAGAAUCGAUUAUGAAGAAACAAUGAGUUGAUCUGAGUAUAGCUACGAUAGCAGUGUGAAACAAGAGCUAGUCAGUUGGCAAAAUUCCGUCUGGUGAGAGCAGUGAGAUUGAAAUGUCAUAUUGUAACAUUCACUGGAGAAUUCCUGCUGCUGGGGCAAUGCCUGGCCUUUGAAAGUUAAGCCCUUAAUACUAAAAAGGGAUGGAAUUGCUUGUUCAAAUGAGAAUAGCAUUGCCAGUCACUGAUAUGACAUAACCUGCCUCUAAGCCAUCGCUUUUUCUAUUUGACAGCUCUUCAGUACUAACUAAUAGAUUUUACAUGUAUCUUUUGAGUAGACUUCCUUGUAAGACAGUAUUUUCAGAAUUAUAACUAGUACUCCUAUUGGGAAUCCCCAACAGCAGUGAAUAAUCAACACAUACUUGGCAGGCAGCUAUUUUCAUUCAAACAGAAGCAGCUUUGUAAAGCAGAUAGGGGAAGCUUGAAUAGUACCCUGACUGUGACUGUUCUUGCAAUAGGCUAGAAUUCCAGUCUUGGUAUGUCAGGCUAGUAAUGCCAGUGAUUAGGAAACUACAAGCUUUCCAAGUAAUUGUGUAAUCUCACCAUUAGAAUCAUGAAAUUCACACUGAAGUCUUAGUUCAAGAAAACGUAUUUAUUUAGUAAGCUGUAUAAAUAUACUCUUAUUUCUGUUAAAACAAUGCAGAAAAAGAAGCAUAGAUAAAGCAAGACAAAUAGCAAAUAUUAACAAAUAAGAUGAAAUCAGAUGAAUCAACAGAAUAAAGCUAUAGAAGCUGUAAAAAAAAUUAGAGGAAAAGAAAGCAGAAGACAAAAGAAGCAUAGAGAACAACGAAGGUGCUCAUCCUGCUAAUGAAGAAACAUUAACACAAACUUUCAGACAUACCAUCUUGAGGGGAAUAAUUGGUGCUGCAUAAGGAGAUUCAGAAAGAAGAAUGCAAUUCCUUGAACCGCCAUGGCAACCAGGUUCUUCCCAACAAAGUCCCACUGAAAAGGAUUGGAAACAUGCUCCUCACCUUUGGAGAGGUGAAGUACCAGAAAGCAAUUAAAUACUGCUGAAAAAGCAUUGCUCAUCAGAACAGAAGGUGUGAACACAUUAAUUUAGGAAGGAAAUCUAAUUUUUAAUCACUAUCAGUCGAAGUCUACCAUUUUUUCAUUGCAUCAAUAAAUACAGAUUCUUAAGAAACCACUGCUACAUGGGAGUAAAAAUGAACAUACGCUCUCUGAGUAUAUAUGAAUACACAUGUAUUACAUAAUGCGAAAUCUGCAUGGAUUACAUGAAAAAUAUUUUUUGGGUGGGGAAAAAAAUUGCUG